rnacentral:rRNA from 1 species
CCAAGGAAGGCAGCAGGCGCGCAAAUUACCCACUCCCGGCACGGGGAGGUAGUGACGAAAAAUAACAAUACGGGACUCUUUUGAGACCCCGUAAUUGGAAUGAGUACACUCUAAAUCCUUUAACGAUGAACUAUUGGAGGUAAAGUCUGGUGCCAGCAUCCGCGGUAACUCCAGCUCCAAUAGCGUAUAUUAAAGUUGUUGCGGUUAAAAAGCUCGUAGUUGGAUCUCAGUUUGCGCGCGGGCGGUCCGACGCGAGUCGGCUACUGCCCGUGCGCGACCGUGCCGCCGGUUUCCCUGGAUGAUCUUCACCGGUUGUCCCGGGUGACCGGCAAGUUUACUUUGAAAAAAUUAGAGUGCUCAAAGCAGGCGCAGACGCCUGAAUAAUGGUGCAUGGAAUAAUGGAAUAGGACCUCGGUUCUAUUUUGUUGGUUUUCGGAACACGAGGUAAUGAUUAAGAGGGACAGACGGGGGCAUUCGUAUUGCGACGCUAGAGGUGAAAUUCUUGGACCGCCGCACGACGAACUACUGCGAAAGCAUUUGCCAAGAAUGUUUCCAUUAAUCAAGAACGAAAGUCAGAGGUUCGAAGGCGAUCAGAUACCGCCCUAGUUCUGACCAUAAACGAUGCCAGCCAGCGAUCCGGCUGCGUUCCUCAAAUGACGCGCCGGGCAGCUUCCGGGAAACCAAAGCUUUUGGGUUCCGGGGGGAGUAUGGUUGCAAAGCUGAAACUUAAAGGAAUUGACGGAAGCGCACACAAGAAAUGGGGCCUGCGGCUUAAUUUGACUCAACACGGUGCAACUCACCCGGCCCGGACACAGGAAGGAUUGACAGAU